AGGACGAACGCUGGCGGCGCGCCUAACACAUGCAAGUCGAACGGAGCUUAGAGAGCUUGCUUUUUAAGCUUAGUGGCGAACGGGUGAGUAACGCGUGAGUAACCUGCCCUAGAGUGGGGGACAACAUUUGGAAACAGAUGCUAAUACCGCAUAAGAUUACAGUACCGCAUGAUACAGUGAUCAAAGGAGCAAUCCGCUGAAAGAUGGGCUCGCGUCCGAUUAGAUAGUUGGUGAGGUAACGGCUCACCAAGUCGACGAUCGGUAGCCGGACUGAGAGGUUGAACGGCCACAUUGGGACUGAGACACGGCCCAGACUCCUACGGGAGGCAGCAGUGGGGAAUAUUGCACAAUGGGCGAAAGCCUGAUGCAGCAACGCCGCGUGAGGGAAGACGGUUUUCGGAUUGUAAACCUCUGUUUUCGGUGACGAACAAAUGACGGUAACCGAGUAGGAAGCCACGGCUAACUACGUG
rnacentral:rRNA from 1 species